rnacentral:rRNA from 1 species
UACGGGAGGCAGCAGUAAGGAAUUUUUGGCAAUGGAGGAAACUCUGACCGAGCGACGCCGCGUGAACAAUGAAGUACUUCGGUAUGUAAAGUUCUUUUAUUGAAAAAGAAAAAAUAGUGGAAAAACUAUCUUGACAUUAUUCAAUGAAUAAGCCCCGGCUAAUUAUGUGCCAGCAGCCGCGGUAAUACAUAAGGGGCGAGCGUUAUCCGGAAUUAUUGGGCGUAAAGGGUGCGUAGGCGGUUUGAUAAGUCUAUAGUUUAAAUGCAGUGCUUAACGCUGUAGCGCUAUAGAAACUGUCUGACUAGAGUUAGAUAGAGGCAAGCGGAAUUCCAUGUGUAGCGGUAAAAUGCGUAAAUAUAUGGAGGAACACCAGAGGCGUAGGCGGCUUGCUGGGUCUUAACUGACGCUGAGGCACGAAAGCGUGGGGAGCAAACAGGAUUAGAUACCCUGGUAGUCCACGCCGUAAACGAUGAGUACUAAGUGUCGGGUUUCGACUCGGUACUGAAGUUAACACAUUAAGUACUCCGCCUGAGUAGUACGUACGCAAGUAUGAAACUUAAAGGAAUUGACGGGACCCCGCACAAGCGGUGGAUCAUGUUGUUUAAUUCGAAGAUACACGAAAAACCUUACCAGGUCUUGACAUAAUUUUGCGACAUUAUAGAAAUAUAAUGAAGGUUAUCAGAAUUACAGGUGGUGCAUGGUUGUCGUCAGCUCGUGUCGUGAGAUGUUAGGUUAAGUCCUAAAACGAGCGCAACCCUUGUCGUUAGUUGCGACCACGUAAUGGUGAGCACUUUAGCGAGACUGCCAAUGAAAAAUUGGAGGAAGGUGAGGA